UGUCUUGCUAAUUGCCUAUAAUUUCCACCUGUUGUCUAUUCCAUUUGCACAACAGCACGUGAAAUGUAUUGUCAAUCAGUGUUGCUUCCUAAGUGGACAGUUUGAUUUCACAGAAGUGUGAUUGACUUGGAGUUACAUUGUGUUGUUUAAGUGUUCCCUUUAUUUUUUUUAGCAGUAAUAUAUAACAUUUAAUAACAUUUAAUCCAUUUUAGAACAACCUGUAACAUAACAAACAUAUGUAUAAAACAAAGAACAACUUGGUAAAAGAAAAAGCUAAACUGUAUAUUAAAAUGAUUGUGGAAAUUCAACUGUCAUCUAAAGGCAUAUUCUAAUAAGAAACCUGGAACUUACUCCUGCCCUUUCCACGUCUCUCUCAAUCUCUCCAGCCACAGUUUGUUAUCUACUAAUGAGCACGUCAGAGCAGGUUCCCAAGACGCCAGAGGAAACACAAAGGUAGGAACAACAGUCCAACUUCAAUGUGGUUACUCCUAACUAACCUUGUGGAGGUUGACAAAAGGGAGACUUGUUUCUUCAGACAGCUCCUGUGUGUUCUCUCUUUGGGGUUAAAGGGAUACUUUGGGAUUUUGACAAUGAGGCUAUUUAUCUAAGACAGGUGUCUGUAGGGCAGCAAACACAGGCUGGUAGGGUAUAGGUCAGGCCUGGUAUAGUUCUAAUUGUUGUAAUCUCAGACAGGUGUCUGUAGGGCAGCAAACACAGGCUGGUAGGGUAUAGGUCAGGCCUGGUAUAGUUCUAAUUGUUGUAAUCUCAGACAGGUGUCUGUAGGGCAGCAAACACAGGCUGGUAGGGUAUAGGUCAGGCCUGGUAUAGUUCUAAUUGUUGUAAUCUCAGACAGGUGUCUGUAGGGCAGCAAACACAGGCUGGUAGGGUAUAGGUCAGGCCUGGUAUAGUUCUAAUUGUUGUAAUCUCAGACAGGUGUCUGUAGGGCAGCAAACACAGGCUGGUAGGGUAUAGGUCAGGCCUGGUAUAGUUCUAAUUGUUGUAAUCUCAGACAGGUGUCUAUAGGGCAGCAAACACAGGCUGGUAGGGUAUAGGUCAGGCCUGGUAUAGUUCUAAUUGUUGUAAUCUCAGAUAGUUGUCUAUAGGGCAGCAAACACAGGCUGGUAGGGUAUAGGUCAGGCCUGGUAUAGUUCUAAUUGUUGUAAUCUCAGAUAGUUGUCUAUAGGGCAGCAAACACAGGCUUUGAACUCCAUUGGUGGAAACAAAUGUAAAUGAGGAGUUAGAUGCAAAGUCCAUAUUUACAUACAUGUGCAGCAUCACAGUGAGCAGUCAUGACAGUGAAUGGCCUGUACAGUAUAAGGGUUGUUGGCUGAUAAUAACUCUACAUGAAGUUGUUUUUAACUCUGUGACAGGAACAUUUAAACUGAAAUCCAGACAUGUGUUCUGUAAUGUAACUUUCAAUCCUCACCACUGAAAUAUGAAUAUUGUAAUAUCCUAAUGGGCACAACAAAAGAACAAAUAACCAGGGUGUGGUGUCAACAUUUUGAGGUGGACCUCAACCAUGGAGACAACCAGAGACUAAACAACAGCACACACAUAGUAUAGAUCUGGAAUGUGAUAGAAUAGACAAACAUCUAGCGGCACGCCACACAUCAGCACGCACCAAGGCCACAUGUUACUGGGUAGGGUAUAGGAGACAGCUGCUAUAGUUACUGGGUAGGGUAUAGGAGACAGCUGCUAUAGUUACUGGGUAGGGUAUAUAGGAGACAGCUGCUAUAGUUACUGUGUAGGGUAUAGGAGACAGCUGCUAUAGUUACUGGGUAGGGUAUAGGAGACAGCUGCUAUAGUUACUGUGUAGGGUAUAGGAGACAGCUGCUAUAGUUACUGGGUAGGGUAUAGGAGACAGCUGCUAUAGUUACUGGGUAGGGUAUAGGAGACAGCUGCUAUAGUUACUGGGUAGGGUAUAGGAGACAGCUGCUAUAGUUACUGGGUAGGGUAUAGGAGACAGCUGCUAUAGUUACUGGGUAGGGUAUAGGAGACAGCUGCUGUAGUUACUGUGUAGGGUAUAGGUAGACAGCUGCUAUAGUUACUGGGUAGGGUAUAGGAGACAGCUGCUAUAGUUACUGGGUAGGGCAUAGGAGACAGCUGCUAUAGUUACUGGGUAGGGUAUAGGUAGACAGCUGCUAUAGUUACUGUGUAGGGUAUAGGUAGACAGCUGCUAUAGUUACUGGGUAGGGUAUAGGAGACAGCUGCUAUAGUUACUGGGUAGGGUAUAGGAGACAGCUGCUAUAGUUACUGUG